UCCCAUACAUUCCAUAAUCUCUAGACCUUUUUGCCAUUCACCUCGGAGAUUUGUUUUCAUUAUUAGGCUCAGAUGGAGGCCUCCAACCAUGUGUAAAUGACUCUUGCAAGUAAGUAAAUAAAUGAUCAGUAUACUAAACUCGAAAGAUCAAUGAUUAAAUAUUUUUAAAUCAAUAAAAAAUUAUGAUAAUAGGCAGUCAAUUACCUAUGUCAAAUUUUUUACAGUAUCAAUACCUCGCAACAUUAAUGUAAAUGGGAUAACUGACCCGUCGAAACCCCAGAU
rnacentral:lncRNA from 1 species